rnacentral:misc_RNA from 1 species
AAGUCGUAACAAGGUUUCCGUAGGUGAACCUGCGGAAGGAUCAUUAACACGUAUCCAACGUUAACCCCCCUGUGAACCUUCAGUGUGCUCGUAACCGAGCAACUGUUAACAAUGGAUAUCUUGGUUCUC